GACGAACGCUGGUGGCGUGCCUAAUACAUGCAAGUCGAGCGGACCAAUAGAAGCUUGCUUCUGUUGGUUAGCGGCGGACGGGUGAGUAACACGUGGGCAACCUGCCUGUAAGACUGGGAUAACUUCGGGAAACCGGAGCUAAUACCGGAUAAUUCAUCCCCUCGCAUGAGGGGAUGCUGAAAGUCGGUUUACGCUGACACUUACAGAUGGGCCCGCGGAGCAUUAGCUAGUUGGUGAGGUAAUGGCUCACCAAGGCGACGAUGCGUAGCCGACCUGAGAGGGUGAUCGGCCACACUGGGACUGAGAUCCGGCCCAGACUCCUACGGGAGGCAGACGUAGGGUAUCUUCCACAAUGGACGAAAGUCUAUUGGACAAUCGCGGCGUGGGUGAUGAAGGACGUCGGGUCGUAAAGCUCUGUUGUUAGGGAAGAACAAGUAUCGGAGUAACAGCUGGUAACUUGCCGUUACCUAACCAGAAAGACACGGCCAACUACGUGCCAGCCGCCGCCGUAA
rnacentral:rRNA from 1 species